UGCUGUCAAGGGUAGCUCAGAAGGGUAUGGGUAUAAGUGUCUCUCCGACUUGAGAUCACUACGAUGACUUGGAAGCAACUCACUAUACUUUGAUAUCGGACUAACUGAGUUUCUAAUUCAAUGAUGAAAGAUUUUUGGGUGCAGUCAAGUACUUGUCAAGUCGGUGCGUGUCAAGAUGGGAUUGACUCCUCCGAAUUAGUAGGAGAUAUGCAUCAGUGU
rnacentral:lncRNA from 1 species